rnacentral:tRNA from 1 species
GCCUGAGUGGUGCAAAGAGUUAAAUGCUCAGCUACUAACUGAAAGGUUGGUGGCUCAAAUCCACCCAGAGGCA